UACGUAGGGGGCUAGCGUUGUCCGGAAUCAUUGGGCGUAAAGAGCGUGUAGGCGGCCCGAUAAGUCCGCUGUGAAAGUCCAGGGCUCAACCCUGGAAUGCCGGUGGAUACUGUCGGGCUCGAAUCCGGAAGAGGUGAGUGGAAUUCCUGGUGUGAGCGGUGAAAUGCGCAGAUAUCGGGAGGAACACCUGUGGCGAAAGCGGCUCUCUGGACCACAACUGACGCUGAGGCGCGAAAGCUAGGGAGCAAACAGG
rnacentral:rRNA from 1 species